UUUUGAGGACUACUAUUAAAAUUUUAUAAAUUAUUUGGUGAGGAAAAUGAAUAGAAGAAUGAUGAAAGUAAAAGUGUAAAACCUCUCAUAGUGACCCGAUGGUGCCAAAAAUCCAAUCUACAUUUUAGCCUAUGUAGUUCAAUACAUUACAAGUUAGUCCUUAAAGUGUAACACAACUAUAAGCCUAACCCACGUAAUUCCAAUUUAUCUUGAUUCAUGCAACUCAAUUCUAUUAGAAAUCCUUUGCCAUCAGCCAAUUAUUAAACAACAUAACACCCAGCUCGGCAUGCCAUGUUAGCAUCAAAACAUAAUACCUGCAAACUACCUCCACAAAA